rnacentral:lncRNA from 1 species
UUGAGUGCCUACUAUGUGCCCUGCACUGUGCAGAGUACAAAAAUGAAUCAAACAUGGUUCCUACCCUCAAGAAGCUUGUAGCAUUUACUUUUUUCCUCUCCAGAUUAGUGUAUAGUAAGACACCAAGACAAGUAUACAAAUAGCUAUAAAACAAGUUAAUAUUAUAUAACCAUUAACAAAGUAUAGGUAAAAUUAUCACAGGAAUUCAGAAAUAGGGGCAUAUCACUAGAGGGACUGAGGAAGGCUUUAUGGAGGAAGUGAUACUUGACUAGGCUUUGAAGGAUUGGUAACAUUUGGACCUAUGGUGAUAGCAGGCUGGGGGAGAUUUCAGGUAGAGGGAAAAGCAUGAAUAAAGGUAUGGAAUCAGAAAAGGUCAGGGGAAAGAGCAAGCAAUAGAAUUGUGCUAGAAAAUAAACUAUAGAAGGAUAGAGAAAAUUACAAGAUCUGAACUCUAAUCCCAGAAAAGUACACGAAAAUAUAGACAGAUAUAAAAAGGGAAAAAAUUUACUUCUCUGGAUUAAUAUAACCACUUUAUGACACCCUUUGGGAAUACUGUCACUAAAAAUCAUUAGUGUUGCAUUUUAUAGGCGGAAAUAAGGCUGUUUCAUGUUAAUGUUUUUUCUUUGAGGUCAGUGACCAAGUUAUCCCAAGUCUGACCAAUGAGACAGGUUCUGCAGGCUCAUAACCAUCCCAACAAAUUAAAUCUGACCCUAGAUCGCUCCUGGACCACAGGAUACCCAAAAGAACAAGAGGUCUUCCCUCUUGAUCAUACCAAAUAUGCCCCAAUUAAGAAAAUAUACUGCUACUUACAAAGAACCUACCUCCAUCCGCUAGGUCCCUAGAGGAUUCUAAGCAAUUGCUUGGGACAACUGCCUUUCCUUUGAACUCUCAUUCCAUAAUGCCAUGGUUAUGAGAAAUUCACCUGGGACUACUACCCAUAAUGGGUUCGAUCACCCCAAAGUAGCUGGAACCAGUGCAGGGACAAAGUGCCUCCCUGACCAGCCUAUUCCCACAGAACCGCACUCACAACUCAGAUUUCAUGGCUCUGGAAAGGUGGUGUCAACAGUAGUCAGAGUCAGUUCUUAUCUUGCUUUGGAGCAUGCGAGCUUGGUUCUCCUCUGACUCCCCUCCCUAUAUACUGGAGCUCUUAUUUGGAUGAUGGACACAGCGAAAAUAUUCCUAAGAUGUCCUCUGAAGUCAGGCCUCUUCUCAAGGAUUUCUGAGACUUUAAAAUGUUGUAGGAGUUCCCACUGUAGCUCAGCAGGUUAAGAACCUGACACAGUAUCCAUGAGGAUGCAGGUUCAAUCCCUAGCCUCACUCAGUGGAUUAAGGAUCCUGCGUUGCCUCAAGCUGAAGCAUAGGCCGCAAAUGCGGCCUGGAAACUUCCAUACGCCACAGGUGUGACUCUAAAGAAAGAAACAAAAAUUUAAAAAUAAAUAGUUCUAAAAUUGGAACUAAGGCCAUGUGCUAGCAACUACAAAUGAAUCCAUAAGGCUGGGUAGAAAUGGAGGUUCAUUUUCCAUCCACUAGAGCCAAAUCAACUAAGGAACAGGUAUGACUAUGGAUGAGAUCCUGUCUGCAUGAUAAAGAUGAUUUAGUGAUCAAGGAAUCUGCAAUCUCUUUUUUUUUUAAUCUCUCUCUAUCGACUGUGAUGUCAGUGCAGUCUCCUAGCUCAAAACAUCCCAAACCAAAGUAUUCCUGCCAAGUUUAUGCCUAUAAAUAUAGUGAUCUUUCCCCGGGAUCUCUAAGAAGUGUUCCUAAGGGCCUGGGGUUAUUCUUGAUAACUCAGACCUCUUUUUGAUUUGGUAAAACAGUUCCUCUUUUACUAACUAGAUGGUGACUUUAAGAAGAUAACUUCUCCUCUCUGGACCCUAAUAUACUUUUUCUCCACAUUUCAAUAGGGUCGAUGGUCUCUAAGGCCCUGCCAGCUCUGAGUCUACAUACAGGCCCAUUCAUUUGCUUGGAAUUAAGUCACCUUUGAAAAAGCUUUAGUAGCUUCUGCUUGCAGUGAGCCAACGUGAGAAUAUAGAGUAAUGGUCACCUCUGUUCUCAGUGUCUCUUUGAAAGAGAUCCACUGUUGCUUGGCCUGCAGCAUAUCCAAACUAGAAAGGAGAUGGGAUAGCAGGAUUGACAUGUGCACACUACUAUAUAUAAAAGAGAUAGGUUACAAGGACCUACUGUACAGCACAGGGAAAUCUACUCAAUACUGUGUAAUAACCUAUAUGGGAAAAGUAUCUGAAAAGGAAUGGAUCUAUGUAUAUGUAUAAGUGAUUUACUUUGCUGUACACCUGAACCUAACACAACUUUGUAAGUCAACUCUACUCCAAUAAAAUUUAAAAAAUAAAAAUUUUUAAAAAAGAGUUUUUAGAAACCCAUCCAGAGAAACACAAACAACACACAAAUAACAAAUGUAUUAUGUGUUUUUUAAAGAUAACUUGUGUCCAUGUCUGUGGUCUACCUGUCAAUCAUCUUGACCUGAAAGACGGCAUGAACUAGAAAAGUGGUGAGAGAGAAUUGUAUUGCACAGAUUCCAUUAUUUUAAUGAGCUCGAAGCAACCAGCCAGGUGGGAAAUGUGCUUGAUUAGGUCAACCAGCUUUGGCUGGAGAAGAAGUUAAAAUUAAAGGGCCAAUUCAUCGUGGUCUUUUG